rnacentral:lncRNA from 1 species
UUCAAAGGAAUAUGUUACGAACAAGGAAACAAACACUUCGCUGGCCAUCAUCUCCUACUGCGAAGGUGGUCUCAGAGCAUUGAACGUGGUGUAGUCCAUCUCUUACCUGGAGUCCUCCAGGUAGUGGGCUCUCGGCACUUGAUGCUCCAGCUACCUGGGUCCUGCAGCUUUUCCCUGGUCCUGACAGCUGGGUGAAGAGGACAAUUUCUGAUCUGCCUUUGACAGACCAAGUUGCCUCUAACCUGCUGCUACAAUGAACAUCUUUGUGCCUGUCCCCUUAUGAACCUGGGCUCAAGUUUCUCUGGGAUGCACCCCUGGAAUGGAUUACUGGAUCAUAUUCAUUUCCAUUUGUCAACUAUCUGAUAACUUUGUCUCUGAUGCCUUUCGUGGAACAGAAAUCUUUAACUUUAAUUCUGUCAAGUCCAUCAAUGUAUUUUCCAUAUGAAUUGUGCAUUUGAGUUUUUAUUAAAGUUCUCUUUACCUCUAGAUUAUGAGGCUAUUUGGUUACACAUUUUUCUUUUGGUGUAGCCAAACCUGAUGCUAAGAAAAGAGAGACAAUUUAGAGACAACAACAAAAACGUUUUUUUGCAGUGUCUUUUAUGUCAUGGGGUAACUCUACAAAUUUAAAUGGAAACCAAUGCCCAGAAUUGUUUUGAGACGUUGUGAACUUCAGCUUUAUCCAGUUUUGCCUAUUGCUGCCAGGAAAACCAAGUGUUUUCAGGUGCUCUUUUUCCCCACCCAAAGGAAGAGAAACAGAAAAAAGAGAAAUACAGUAUAUCAGGAGUCCUUUCCGCUUUGCUUUAUUAUUAAUCAUAGCAGCUUCCCAGGGCCUUUAAAAGAGUUUUCUUAAAAGUUCUG